GAGAGCUUUGGCGCUGAUUUGUGGUAUGGUUAGCUGGUGAAAGCCCCGCUAGUUAAUUGAUCUAGUUUGUGUGUUGCUUUGGAGUGGUAGAUGGAAAGAAAUUACAAACCGUGGAUAUUGCGGAAUCCUUGGUUGAUGUUCUGGCAAAAGCAGGAUAAGGAGUCCUUCGUUUUUUUUUUAAGUUUGGAGGUGAUUAUUGUUCGCUGCUUAUU
rnacentral:lncRNA from 1 species